GACGAACGCUGGCGGCGUGCUUAACACAUGCAAGUCGAACGGAAAGGCCCUGCUUUUGUGGGGUGCUCGAGUGACGAACGGGUGAGUAACACGUGAGUAACCUGCCCUUGACUUUGGGAUAACUUCAGGAAACUGGGGCUAAUACCGGAUAGGAGCUCCUGCUGCAUGGUGGGGGUUGGAAAGUUUCGGCGGUUGGGGAUGGACUCGCGGCUUAUCAGCUUGUUGGUGGGGUAGUGGCUUACCAAGGCUUUGACGGGUAGCCGGCCUGAGAGGGUGACCGGCCACAUUGGGACUGCGAUACGGCCCAGACUCCUACGGGAGGCAGCAGUGGGGAAUAUUGCACAAUGGGCGGAAGCCUGAUGCAGCAACGCCGCGUGCGGGAUGACGGCCUUCGGGUUGUAAACCGCUUUCGCCUGUGACGAAGCGUGAGUGACGGUAAUGGGUAAAGAAGCACCGGCUAACUACGUG
rnacentral:rRNA from 1 species